AGAAUCGGGCCAUUUUGAGAGUAAUCUCUCCAAGAAUUGGGUCACAUUGAGAGUAAUCUCUCCAAGAAUCGGGCAAGGAUGAAUACUCAUCCCCUCACACCCCAAGAUUAUCUUCUUCAUGCGUGGAUCAUCUUAUUGAACAAGAACAUAUCUUUCUUGUUCGACCUACAAAAAAAAUGACAAAAGAAGAAAAAUAGAACAUAUCUUAUUGUUCGACCUACAAAAAAAAUGACAAAAGAAGAAAAAUAGAACAUAUCUUUCUUGUUCGACCUACAAAAAAAAUGACAAAAGAAGAAAAAUACAAGAAAAGAAGAAGAAAUUACCUUAGUGUUAAUGCUUCCGAAUCCGCAAAACUAGACUCAAUAUGGCUUGCAAAUAAUGCGAAUUGAUGCUAAACAAAUACGACGUAGGGGUUUAUAUAGAUAACAAAGGUGGCUGUCAAAUAGUGAUUUCUCGAUGUGGGACUUUGCGACAAUUGGUCUUGGAAAAGGACAUGGACUGUUGAGGCGGC
rnacentral:lncRNA from 1 species